rnacentral:rRNA from 1 species
UACGUAGGUGGCAAGCGUUAUCCGGAAUUAUUGGGCGUAAAGCGCGCGCAGGCGGUUUCUUAAGUCUGAUGUGAAGCCCACGGCUCGAACCGUGGAGGGUCAUUGGAAACUGGGGAACUUGAGUGCAGAAGAGAAAAGCGGAAUUCCACGUGUAGCGGUGAAAUGCGUAGAGAUGUGGAGGAACACCAGUGGCGAAGGCGGCUUUGCUGGUACCGUUCGACGCUGAGGCGAACGA